UGGGGAAUUUUGGACAAUGGGCGAAAGCCUGAUCCAGCAAUGCCGCGUGUGUGAAGAAGGCCUUCGGGUUGUAAAGCACUUUUGUCCGGAAAGAAAUCCUUGGCUCUAAUACAGUCGGGGGAUGACGGUACCGGAAGAAUAAGCACCGGCUAACUACGUGCCAGCAGCCGCGGUAAUACGUAGGGUGCAAGCGUUAAUCGGAAUUACUGGGCGUAAAGCGUGCGCAGGCGGUUUGCUAAGACCGAUGUGAAAUCCCCGGGCUCAACCUGGGAACUGCAUUGGUGACUGGCAGGCUAGAGUAUGGCAGAGGGGGGUAGAAUUCCACGUGUAGCAGUGAAAUGCGUAGAGAUGUGGAGAAUACCGAUGGCGAAGGCAGCCCCCUGGGCCAAAUACUGACGCUCAUGCACGAAAAGCGUGGGGAGCAAAACAGGAUUAGAUACCCUGGUAGUCCACGCCCUAAAACGAUGUCAACUAGUUGUUGGGGAUUCAUUUCCUUAGUAACGUAGCUAACGCGUGAAGUUGACCGCCUGGGGAGUACGGUCGCAAAGAUUAAAAACUCAAAGGAAUUGACGGGGUCAUAGCUGUUUCCU
rnacentral:rRNA from 1 species